GACGAACGCUGGCGGCGUGCUUAACACAUGCAAGUCGAACGGAAAGGCCCUGCUUUUGUGGGGUGCUCGAGUGGCGAACGGGUGAGUAACACGUGAGUAACCUGCCCUUGACUUUGGGAUAACUUCAGGAAACUGGGGCUAAUACCGGAUAGGAGCUCCUGCUGCAUGGUGGGGGUUGGAAAGUUUCGGCGGUUGGGGAUGGACUCGCGGCUUAUCAGCUUGUUGGUGGGGUAGUGGCUUACCAAGGCUUUGACGGGUAGCCGGCCUGGGAGGGUGACCGGCCACAUUGGGACUGAGAUACGGCCCAGAAUCCUACGGGAGGCAGCAGUGGGGAAUAUUACACAAUGGGCGGAAGCCUGAUGCAGCAACGCCGCGUGCGGGAUGACGGCCUUCGGGUUGUAAACCGCUUUCGCCUGUGACGAAGCGUGAGUGACGGUAAUGGGUAAAGAAGCACCGGCUAACUACGUG
rnacentral:rRNA from 1 species